GAUCCAGACUCCUACGGGAGGCAGCAGUGAGGAAUAUUGGUCAAUGGGCGGGAGCCUGAACCAGCCAAGUCGCGUGAGGGAUGACGGCCCUAUGGGUUGUAAACCUCUUUUGCCGGGGAGCAAAGUGCCGCACGUGUGCGGUUUGGAGAGUACCCGGAGAAAAAGCAUCGGCUAACUCCGUGCCAGCAGCCGCGGUAAUACGUAGGUGGCAAGCGUUGUUCGGAAUAACUGGGCGUAAAGGAUGCGUAGGCGGUUAAACAAGUUAUAUGUUAAAUAUAUAGGCUUAACCUGUAGAAAGCAUAUAAAACUGUUUAACUAGAGUGCAGGAGAGGUAAGUGGAAUUCCUAGUGUAGCGGUGAAAUGCGUAGAGAUUAGGAAGAACACCAGUGGCGAAGGCGACUUACUGGACUGUAACUGACGCUGAGGCAUGAGAGCAUGGGGAGCAAACAGGAUUAGAUACCCCAGUA
rnacentral:rRNA from 1 species